rnacentral:rRNA from 1 species
GAUGAACGCUGGCGGCGUGCCUAAUACAUGCAAGUCGAGCGAACAGACGAGGAGCUUGCUCCUCUGACGUUAGCGGCGGACGGGUGAGUAACACGUGGAUAACCUACCUAUAAGACUGGGAUAACUUCGGGAAACCGGAGCUAAUACCGGAUAAUAUAUUGAACCGCAUGGUUCAAUAGUGAAAGACGGUUUUGCUGUCACUUAUAGAUGGAUCCGCGCCGCAUUAGCUAGUUGGUAAGGUAACGGCUUACCAAGGCAACGAUGCGUAGCCGACCUGAGAGGGUGAUCGGCCACACUGGAACUGAGACACGGUCCAGACUCCUACGGGAGGCAGCAGUAGGGAAUCUUCCGCAAUGGGCGAAAGCUUGACGGAGCAACGCCGCGUGAGUGAUGAAGGUCUUCGGAUCGUAAAACUCUGUUAUUAGGGAAGAACAAAUGUGUAAGUAACUAUGCACGUCUUGACGGUACCUAAUCAGAAGGCCACGGCUAACUACGUG